GUAGUUGCACUUGACACUUUAGCAUUGUGUUUAUGUCCAUGGACGUUAGUAACGCAGUUGAUUGAUAUGUUCCAAGUGAGCUUUGCUUUAAUACCCAAUUGUAGAAAAUGGGAUUCAUCAUCCGUGCGUUUCAAUUGGAGUGCAAAUCGAAUCGUAUGGUACUAGAUGUACUUAGUUACACGUCCACACGCUUUACAAUGUUAGAACCUCACUAAUUAAGUUAGAACCGAACGCAUGCCGAUAAGAUAAACUUUAAAAUUUGCCGCUCUAGAGUUAUCGCAUUGUAUUAUCUUCAGCCCAAAUUCGAAAAUGACUUUGUGAUUGGUUCAUGAUAUUGCGGAAAUGUAACCUCUAUCAGAUAAAUUGAACUGAAACUUGAGAUCCCGUAACUCUUAUCAAUUAUGCAGGGAUAAUCAUGAUGAUAUGGUUGCUACUAUGGAAAACCUGUUUUAAUCAAGAAAUCAGCUUACCAAUGCGACUAAGCCAUCAACAUAAAGGGGGUGUAAUAAUCUUAUCCUUAUACAACAGUUACAACGUAAUACCAAUAUUUCAAUAUCGGAUUACUUUUAGAUGAACGUUUCUUCUGAUAUGAACACUAUGCGAUGCUUAUUGCCCCAACGCGAUCAAAAUGGGCGUUGUCAAAAUUUCCAACGCGCGAGAUGCGAAAUGGGAUAAUGCGAUAGGUCGAGCUCUGGAGAUGCUGAUGAGAGUUCUAACGUCAAAAAAUGAUCCGUGGCUAAACCACUGCGAUUUCUAGUAAGCGGACAAAGUUGAGAUUUGAGGAUUUUCUUUAUCUCUCAAUAAAAAUUGCGACCGCGAAGUUAUCUAAAAAUAAGAGGCUUUUAACUAAUUAUUGUUUCUAUGUGGAUUGUGGAUUGUGGAUACCUAUACGAAGUGGGUACCGCAGUCGCUUAAAAUGCAUGGCAACCAUAGAUUUGAAGAUACACUUAAGCUAAGCUCAACUUGGGUAUAUUUGUAGGUACAAACUAUUAAAGCCAUGGCCGAAGUGGACAGCCUGUAUACCGAGCAAAAUUCCAGAUCCCUUCUUACAUUUAAUUACAGUAAUAAUACCCAUAUAAUCAAAUCAAGUAAAAAAAUACAGUGGAACAGAAGAAUAGCAUUAUUUUCACUAUCCGAGAAUAAGUAUCGACUUUGAAUAUACACAGCUAUCGAUAAGAUCACCUUAUUAAUAAUGACAAUUUACUGCUAUUUGGUCUUCGGGAACGUUAUAUAGAGAAAAAAUGCUCUUGUCGUUUUCACAUAAAAUAAAACAAAGAAAAAAAAAGACUCGACAAAAUAAAUAAAUGCAUCGAAAAAACUAAAAUACAGGAGCAUUGUCAACACUGGUAAUCUUGUAGGAUUCACGCCGUGCGGCGCCGGCAACACUGACUGUGGACAUUACUCAAAAAGGUUGGGGAAUGCUGCUUUAAUGUAAACCGAGCAGAUCUGUUCACACGUAAACGUAUUUUUCAAGCGGUUUGGAAGUGUGUUGUUGUCAAACUUCUUAAACAUUAUUUUGUGUCUUUAAAAUGGAUCUUCUCACUGUCAAUUAUCACGUUGUGCCGGGUGUAACAGGUGGUCGUUUAGCUGCUUUCAAACAUUUGGUUUUGAAUUUGUAUUUUGUUAAACGUUACACAUAUACCGCUUCAUCGCGAACAUGAAUAAAAGUAUGUCUGGCGAUAACAGAAACCGUAUUGGGGAAAGCGAGCGUGAUUGCCACGAUCCAUUUCCAACCUAAGAGUUUCGUUCCGUUCUGUUUAAAGCCGAGCACGUAUUCGUUUAAAAAGGUGUGCUAAUUUGUGUUUGUACUAUGUUAGGUUCGCGAAAUUUAAUUUUUAGAGAAGUUACGAGUGCGAGCCAGUACCAUUUUGGGUACGCUAAUUUAUUAUUAUGGUUGGUUCAUUUUGCGUCAAUACAAAGGUGUUCGUUUUAAGGAGCGUCCACGUACAAUAUCGAUCUGUGAAACAAUUAUUUCGCGUUCGGCAUUUUUAGCUGGGUUGCAAGAAAUAUCUUGCCAUAUAUGUGAAGAUUCGUGGUUCUAGUUCAAGAACCAGAACGCGGAAGUAGUCGAUAAAAUUUAUUUAAGUCGCUGUAAAGAUUAGCAGUUCAACUUCGAGUAAAAAACGUAUCAAGUGGCGAGACUUCCUAAAUUUCGAAAACGUCGUAGAGAAACGUUUAAACAAAUUCGGGUUUGUUUCAAAUUGUGUUACCUGCAAUUUUACAUGUGUGCGAAUAGACGAAUUACAGUGGAUUGUGAGACGAGGAGAAACUUUUUACCAGACUGAUUCGAACCAGGUUCUUCAUUUAUAAGUGAUACAAUUUACGUGAAGGAACAUUUUCAAAUAAAAUAAUCGGGAUUAAAUAAACUGAGCUUGAAACUCAUCGCGAUAAACAAAGAACUUUUUUCGGAUCGCUAAAUGUAACGGCUGGUUAAAAGCAAAUUUCUUAAAGCUGAGUGACGUCUUCGGACAGCGCCUUGCGCGAUCAAUAAAAUUUUGUAUAUAACGGCA